AUGCCACAAGCAGUGCUUCUCCUUGCUGUCUCCUGUGCGGCGGUCCUCGCUGCUGGUGUCUCCGGCCAGCCGGUGUCGCCAGCAGCCGAGCGGACCAACUGUCCUGCAAAGUGCGGGGACGUAGAGAUCCACUACCCAUUCGGCAUCGGCCCUGGGUGCUCCAUGGACGCCGACUUCGAAGUCACCUGCAACGAGACGACGAGCCCUCCGAGCCUCCAGUUGGGCAACAUCUUGAUCGCCAACAUCACAUUGGAGACGGCGCAGAUGGUGGUCUACACCUUCCUGACCUACAGCUGCCGCGUGCCGGGCAGCAACAAUACAAUCUACGCGCAGACGCAGAGCAUGGAACUCAGCGUCAGCAGCACCACGUUCCUGGUGUCGCCGUCGGAUAACGUGUUCACGUCCGUCGGGUGUAAUUCACUGGCCCAGCUCGUUGGGCACAGCGGCACCGACUACCACACCGGCUGCAUCACCACGUGUGCUAGCGUGAACGAAACGGCAGAUGACGGCGCACCCUGCAGCGGGCACGGCUGCUGCGAGGCGUCAAUAAUGCCCGGCCUCUUCCUAGUCAACGUGAGUUGGUCCGACUGGGCGGAGGAGAGCGACUAUCAUGUGCCUGGCAACCUGUGCCAAUAUGCCUUCGUCGCCACAAAAGGCUGUCUUGUUGUGGACCUGCAACUGCAUGUCAUGGGUGGACUUGCAACUGGGACCAAGAUGGGUCAGGCCUAG
rnacentral:rRNA from 1 species